ensembl:snRNA U7 U7 small nuclear RNA
CAGUGUCACAGCUCUCCUAGAAUUUGACUAGCAGGUUUUCCGAUUUUUACUGGAAAGCCCUU